GCCUGGUGUGGUGGUGCACGUCUGUAAUCCUAGCUACUUGGGAGGCUGAGGCAGGAGAAUUGCUUGAACCUGGGAGGCUGAGGUUGCAGUGAGCUGAGAUCAUGCCACUGCACUCCAGCCUGGGCAAUAGAGUGAGACUCUGCCUCAA
ensembl:misc_RNA Metazoa_SRP Metazoan signal recognition particle RNA